GAUGACGCUGGCGGCUAUGCCUUAACACAUGCCAAGUCGUACGGGUACCGGUCUCCUGAUAGUGGGCUCCACGGGGUGUAGUAACUACGUGAUGAAUCUGCGCGUUCAUGGCUCAUGGUGACAACUGAUCUGGGAAACAUACUCUCUCCAUACCAGGGAUGAUAUCCAACCCGGCGUAAAGAUUAAUUGCCGGAAUAUGAUCUCGCGUCAAAUUACCUAGGUCGUGGUGUGAAGGACUUCCUAUGCGACGAUCUGUAGCUUACUGAGCGACACGAUCAGAUCAUACGGUGAGCUGACACCGAGGCUGAUUCCUACGACGUAGCACGCAAGUAUGCGAAUUCUUCACUCCAUGGGCGAGAGACUGUCGGAGAAUUUGGACGUGUGGGUACAACGCUUACCGGUCGUAAACCUCUUCUUCUCAACGAAGAUUUUGGACUGGUCUACGUGCGAUUACCAUCGGAUAACACCGUGCCACGCAGCAACUUUAAUAGUGCAUGAUGCAAUAAGUUCAUCCGCUAAUGUAUUGUGGCGAUCAAGCGUCCUAAUGCGGUUUUGUAAGUCUGCUGUUAAAAUCACUUAGGCUCAACCUGUCUAAGGUGACAGUGAUCUGUCGACUAUAGUACGUGUCUGGAGUAGACGGAUUCCCCGGGAGGGUGAAUGCGUAGAGAUUGGGAAGAACACCGGUGGCGAAAGCGCUCUGCUAGGGCUGUACUGACGCUGAUGGACGAAAGCUUGGGGAGCGAACGGGAUUAGAUACCCCGGUAGUCCUCGCCGUAAACGAUGGAUACUAGGUGUUGCCCGUAUCCACCCGGGGAUUGUCCUAACUCAAUCAUUGAUUCUCCCGGCGGGGGCGUCCGCACGGGUGUGUCUAACUCGAAUGAAUUGGCGGGCGCCCGCACAAGCGGUGGAGUGUGUGGUUUAAUUCAAUCCCGCGGGACCAACCUUGCCAGGACUUGACCUGUCACGGAUCUCUGGUAAACUAGUUCCGUGCCUUCAGGAACCCGAACGCUGGUGGUGCAUGGCUGUAUUCAGCUCGUGUCCUGAGAUGUUGGGUUAAGUCGCGCAGUGAGCGCAACCCUGCGUUCUUAGUUUCCAUCAUUAAGUUGGGCACUGUAGAGAGAUUUCCGGUGACAAACCGGAGGAAGGUGGGGAUGAGAUCAAGUCAGCAUACGCCAUAAGUCCCGGGCUACACACGUACUCCAAUGUUAUGCACAAAGGGCAGCUAAACAUCAAUGUCAUGCGAAUGUCAGACAUUGUAGAUCAGUUCAGAUUGAAGGGUGUAACUGGCUUUCAUGAAGUUGGAAUAGGUAGUAAUUGCAGGUCAUGCAUACAGCAGUGAAUUCGCUGGCCGGUGACGUUGUACAGCACCUCGUCAGUAACACGCAUGUAAGACUGGACACAGAGCCGAAGUAGUUAUGCACUGACAGUUGGUGUGGGGGACGACGUGAGGUAAGGGCUGUACUGGGG
rnacentral:rRNA from 1 species